rnacentral:rRNA from 1 species
UACGGAGGGAGCUAGCGUUGUUCGGAAUUACUGGGCGUAAAGCGCACGUAGGCGGGUUCGCAAGUCGGAUGUGAAAGCCCUGGGCUCAACCUAGGAACUGCACCCGAAACUGCGAAUCUUGAAUGCCUGAGAGGUUGGCGGAAUUCCAGGUGUAGGAGUGAAAUCCGUAGAUAUCUGGAGGAACACCGGAGGCGAAGGCGGCCAACUGGUGGUGCAUUGACGCUAAUGUGCGAAAGCGUGGGGAGCAAACAGG